AAGAAAAAUUAUCAACUGCCCCUAUAAUUGUGUCCCCUGAUUGGAACCAACCUUUUGAGGUCAUGUGUGAUGCUAGUGAUACAGCAGUUGGAGCUGUUUUAGGCCAAAGAAAAGAUAAGAUUUUUCGUCCAAUUUACUAUGCCAGCAGGACAAUGAAUGGGGCUCAACUAAAUUAUGCCACGACUGAGAAAGAACUACGAGCAGUGGUAUUUGCAUUUGAUAAGUUUCGUUCCUAUCUGAUAGGAACCAAGGUCACUGUUUUUACUGAUCAUGCGGCUCUAAAAUACCUCUUAGCAAAAAAAGAUGCGCGACCUAGAUUGUUAAGAUGGAUUUUACUUCUCCAAGAAUUUGAGCUUGAAAUAAAAGAUAAAAAGGGAACAGAGAAUCAGGUAGCUGACCAUUUGUCUAGAUUAGAGAACCCCCACUUGAGUUAUGUGAUAUAAAAGAAGAGUUUCCUGAUGAACAUAUUUUUUCUAUCAACUCAGUUGUGACUCAACCACCCUGGUUUGCAGAUAUUGCAAAUUACUUGGUUAGAAAAUGGACACCCCAAAAUCUCACUUACCAACAGAGGAAAAAGUUAUAUCUGAUGCUAAAUACUAUUUGUGGGAUGACCCUUAUUUAAAAUUUGUGCAGAUAAUAUUAUCAGAAGAUGUGUACCAGAAGAAGAAAUGACCAAAAUUUUGUAUCAGUGCCACGAUGGAGCAGUUGGAGGACACUAUGCAGCAAAUCGAACUGCCUUUAAAGUUCUAGAGGUUGGAUUUUUCUGGCCAACACUUUUUAAGGAUGCUCGUGCCUACGUUGCACAGUGUGACAGGUGUCAAAGAACAGGCAAUAUCACUAAGAGAGAUGAGAUGCCAUUGCAAUCAAUACAGGUAUGUGAAAUAUUUAAUGUUUGGGGGAUAGAUUUCAUGGGUCCUUUUCCUUCAUCUCAUUCUUUUGAAUAUAUCCUUGUGGCUGUGGAUUAUGUUUCAAGAUGGGUUGAAGCCAUCCCAACAAGGAAAAAUGAUACUCAAACUGUGUGCAAUUUUCUUAAGAAAAAUAUUUUUACCAGGUUUGGUACACCACGAGUUAUCAUUAGCGACCAAGGGUCUCAUUUCAUGAAUAGACAAUUUUCAGCAUUAUUGUCAAAAUAUGGUGUGACUCACAAAACAGGAACACCAUAUCAUGCUCAAACAAAGGGCAAGUUGAGGUUUCUAACCGCGAAUUAAAACGAAUACUUGAAAAAACGGUUGGAAUCUCCAAAAAAGACUGGGCUUCAAAAUUAGAUGACACACUGUGGGCAUAUCGAACGACGUUUAAAACGCCAAUUGGUACGUCUCCAUAUCGAUUAGUCUUUGGAAAAGCUUGUCAUCUUCCAGUUGAAUUAGAACACAAAGCCUUUUGGGCAUUGAAAGCAUUGAACUUUGAUUUAACCCCUGCUGGUAAAAAUAGAUAUUCUCAGGUGAAUGAAUUGGAAGAACUCAGAUUAGAAGCCUAUGAAAAUGCCAAAAUUUUUAAAGAAAAAAAAAAACGGCACGACAAUUUAAUCCGACAGAAAACUUUUAAAAUUGGAGAUCAUGUACUUCUAUACAACAGUAGACUCAUGUUAUUUCCAGGAAAAUUAAAAUCAAGGUGGACGGAUCCUUACAAUGUUACAGAUGUUACUCCAUACGGAGCAAUUGAAAUUCAACAAACCAAUGGAGGAGACAAAUUUAAGGUAAAUGGUCACAGGUUAAAAUUAUAUUUUGGAGGGCAUUUUGAGCAACAACCAUCUGUCACUUUGAUAGAUUGAUGAAGUCUGCAAUUAAUAAGUCGAGCUGGCGACGUUAAACUCAGAACUAUGGUUCCUUACCCGUAGCCAUUGAGGGUGAAGCAAUGGAGCCUCAUAAGUCCAACAUAGAUUUAAAUAGUUAAAUGCUUAAUCAAUUGAUCUGGUUAAUAUCCAGGUUAUUGUACAACCAGAACAUCUCAUGAAGGCCUCUACAAAAACAGAGUCACCUAUACAGGAGUAACUCCAUGGUGAUCGGUAUGCCUAAGUAACUGGUUGGUUAACCAUUUAAUAAUGUAAUUCAUAUGUUGGCACAGGUAAUUUUCUAGUUUAUAUACAAACUAGACUUGUUAUUUAUACGCAAAAGGAAAAAGAAUACAUGGAAAAAGAGAAAAAGAAAGAUCUACGGUUCAAGGAAGAAGGAUGCAUCCGUGACAACUUCAUCUAAGACUUUAUAAAAUCAAGAGAUACAAAAGUUAUGGCAAAUUCUCACCAAAAUUUCAUGACAAAUUGCCAUGUCAAUUUCUCAUCAAGGCCAUAUGAUAUAUUAAUAUUAUAUUGCAAUUUCUCACCAAGGCCUUGUAGGAAUUUUCCUAUAAAUAGCCAUAUGUUUGUAGAAGAAAGGGCAUCCCUCUUUGUAUCCAAUUUUCUAUUUAGUUUUUUUCUAAGUUUCUAAAGAGAAAGAGAAGAGUAAUCUUGGUCUCUUCCUCUAAUAUUUCUCUUUGUAGUAAAAAUAUUCUUAGUCUUUUGAAAGUAUUUUUUAGCUUUUCUUACUUCAUAAUGGAGUAAUUUCUUUUUGUUGGGAUAGUUGAUGAAGCUUGAUAUAAUUAUAAUACUAUCUCAGUUUCAAUACAUUCUUGGCCUGAAACUCUAUAUACAUUUCAUAUUGUGAUGGAAUGAUGAUUUUUUAAUCAUUAUUAUUACAUCUACAUAUUUUAUAUCUAAGUUAUUCUUAUAUUAAUUUUGUAAUUCUCACGGAGCAAAAUUAAUAUAUAAUAACUGAUGAAUAGAAUAUUAGAGUGAAAGUAAUUUUUAAUAAGAUUAUUAUUUCAAGUUUAUAAUCUUGUUUUCCUCAGUUUUUUCUCACGGAGGAAUUGUUUAAGGCAAGAUUAUUGAUUUUCUAGUAGAAAUAUUCUCACGAAGUUUUUACUACACUUAAGCACAAAAUAUUAGAGUUAAAAUAAUUUUUAGUAAGAUUAUUGUUUCAAGCCUGUAAUCUUGCUUUCUUCAGUUUUAAUUCUCACGGAGAAAUUGUUGAAGGCAAGAUUAUUGAUUUUCUAGUAAAAAUAUUCUCACGAAGUUUUUACUAUGCUUGAGCACAAUUCAAGCAAGAUUUUUCAGUUUAAUCGUCACUAGUUUUAAAUCAAAUGAUUGACAUAACCUCACGGAGUGUUAAUUAUUCAUUUAUUUCUUAGUGUAAAAAUAUAAUUGUAUUAGCAAUAAGCAAUUAUUCUUUAGAGAAAUACGUAUGAACCUGAGAUUUUAUUGUAAUGAUAUAUCAAGUGAAUUCAAUGAUUCCCAACUCUUUUUAAAUAUAAACUUUUCAGAAGAAAUUUGUCUUAAUUUAUAAUUUCAAACACACCUCUCAUCAAUUUGGUUCUCUCAAAUAGUAGUCAAAAUAUUACAAGUCUGUAGCUUAGAUUGUCCAAUCUCUGUGGGACGAUAUCAUAAACUAUACUAGAAUUUGACAGAGUGCGAGCAAAAAAUCCUAUACACAUAAGCUUCGUCAACAUGCUUAUUGAUCGAUUUACUGGAAAAUCAAAAAUAUUUAUUGGCAUCGAUGAAGAUAUUGAAUUUAAUAAUCAAACACAAUUUGAAGACCUACUACACACUUUAAAUCCUCCUGGUUUGCCCCCUUACAAAUUAUGUUUGAAAGAGAAUUGUCCAAUUAUAUUAUUGCGAAAUUUAAAUCCAUGUGAAGGUUUAUGUAAUGGCACGCGAUUGACCUGCUGUGAUUUUAAAAGCCAUGUUAUCAGCGCUAAGAUUACAACAGGUGAUUUCAAAAAUAUGCACGUGUUUAUCCCAAGAAUUCCAUUAUUAUCAUCACAGGAUGGAAAAAUGCCUGUUCAAUUUAAAAGAACGCAAUUUCCCGUUAGACUAUGCUUUGCUAUGACAAUAAAUAAAGUACAAGGCCAGACUUUAGAUUUCGUUGGAAUUUAUUUGCGGGAACCUGUAAUUUCACAUGGUCAACUUUAUGUUGCCUUAUCGAGAGCAAAGAGUUCAAAUUGUGUGAAAUUGUUGAUCCGACCGUCUAGCCAAGUAGCCAUGACGAUCAUUCUACCUCUAAUAUAGUAUACGGCAAAAUUAUUCAGAAGGCAAUCCUUUGAGUUACAGGUUGUGAUGUUUUUUCUUUGUAUUCUCCUAUAUCCUCUUUCUCAUUGUUGCUUUGUAUAGAUAAAGUAUCAGACAUGCUAAUGCAAUUAUUUUCUUCGUGAAUUGUGAUUUUCUAUUCACUGGUAAUGAGCAUGGUAUAGCCAAACCUUUUAUUAUGUAUCUGCUUUUUUACGUUUAGUUUGAUGAUAUUCCCCCUCCAGUGGAUUAAUGUAAAAAAUAUGCUAAUGUAUUCCUCCUCAUAGAAUAGUCCAAUCUCUCAUUAAGUAGUUUCGAUGUGUUAGAUCUUUUUAGACUUAGUUAUAUUUCAAAUUGGAUCCCUUCUUGGUGCUUUUACUUUGUCUUCCACAUUUUCUCCGAGCAAGUAAAUAAUAUUUUCAUAACCUUUGGUGGCUCAAAUUGGCUUCGGAACCUUAUAAUUUAUAUUUGCAGGUUAACGCUGUCCUGGUAGGAAAUUGCAACUAUUUUCAUGAUCAAAAAGUUUUCACCACAACUAUUUAGCUCAUAGAAGUGCGUUUAUUUUUACAGGCAAAAUGUUCCAUGGAUCACAAGUCAUGGAGGUUUCAUGGCAUAUUGACGAUGCAUUGUUACGAGAACGGUCAAGUUGUAGAUUGUGUUUGGAUUGACAAAUUAAGGGAAAUUUUGCUACAUCCAUAUCAAAUAUCACCUAGGUGGCCUUGAAGAUUUUGUUGCGGAAGAAGAGAAGCCAAAGGUACAUCAUAUAGAUUCAGGGGAGACUUUUUUAGAGAAAAUAGCAUAGACAAUAAAGUCCGCUCACCAAGAUUAUACUUACUAUCAAGGAGGAAGUAAAGAAAAUCUCGAGUGUAAAGGUUGGAAAUCCAGAGAUGAUAAGAGUAAAAGUAGCAGGCUAGGUGGCCUCUUUCAGAAAGUAGACUCCACUCUUCACAUGGUCAACAG